ensembl:rRNA 5S_rRNA 5S ribosomal RNA
GUCUAUGGUCGUACCACCCUGAAUGUGCCUGAUCUCAUCCGAUCUUGGAAGCUAAGCAGGGUCGGGCCUGGUUAGUACUUGGAUGGGAGAACUAAUACUUAUUGAAAAGAGAAAAAUAAGCUCCACAUUGAUU